rnacentral:tRNA from 1 species
GGGAAUGUGGCUCAGUGGUAGAGUACUUGCCUUGCACAUAUGAGGUCCUAGGUUUGAACCCCAGCAUUACCC